UUUCUGGGAAUGUCCGCCUCCCGUUUCGGCUCAGGAAACAAUAUCUACUGUAUUAUUUGGGAAAGUCCACGAAUUAAGAUGACCGUUUUACCCCCUUCUCCUAACAUGGUUUAUCCUUCCUCAAGAGCAUUAUCACAUCCAAGCCGUCCAUUGAUGAUAUGUCUAUGGAGCAAACCCAUCAUCAACCGUCCAUCUGAGUUUGAUGCGCGUCCACAAUCUUUGCUCCGGCCUCCAUCCGUCCCGGCCAAUCCAUCCCCCAUCGAAUGGACUCCCCGCGGCGUCCCCUCCUCCGUCAUCGACGAGCACCUCGAGAACGUCUUCCGGUGUGGGUGAGUGUCUCAUGUUUUCCGUUACUUCCGUUGCUUCUGCACACCAACUGCUUGCUCUUUUGUCUGAACAACCUUGAUGUUAACCUUAGGGUGUAGCUUCUUGUGUUGGCUCAACUUAGCAAUCGGUCAUUCUGCUAGAAAGGACUUCCGAUUUACCAAGCUAGAUAUUUUUUCUGCACAGUGGGUGCUUGUUGUUGUGCCUCCUGCCAUAAUUACCUCUUGUCUUGAUGCUUCAAACUACACCAUCAUGGCCACCAUAGACACCAUACUCUCCUAUUGCACCUUCUCACACAAUUCUUAGGAUUUAUUGGAUGCCUAUUUCCCUGGCACUAUGAACUCCUAUUGCACCGACUGUAGAUGUUGCUCUUGUUAAUUUGGUGUUCGAAACUUAAUGCCCUGGUUCUUUUGAUGGUUGGUGAGCCAACUUUUGUGUUAGCUGCUCAUAGUGCUCUACUUUUGAUGGUUGGUGAGCCAACGAUCGUUCGCAAGAACAAAUACAAGCAAUGCGCUUUAUGCAUCAUAAUGGAAGAAAAAUGUUGGCUUAACAUCUACAGACCUGACCACAGAGUUUACACUUGUCUUGUGAGUCCUGCUACUCCCUCUUACCUAUCAACAAGCCAGCAGUUUAGCUGCAUUUUCCUACCUCUUCAUGUCUCUAUAUCUCUCUCCUCUGUCAGCUCCUCAACAACAUAUAUGCUGCUUUGUCUUACAUCUUCUCUUGAUUCUUGCUCGCAGUGCUUUGGCUAUAGAAUUUUGCAUGCAGGACAUUGAUAAGUGACUUAAUUUUAGUUUUAUUUUACUUUGUUGGUUUUCUUCUCACCAGUCUUGUGUUUUAGGUGUUCUCUUUAUUCUGCAUUUACUCUCAAUAUGGCUACUUUGUUAUAUGUUUCAUGAAUGCAACUUGUUCCUAGAAGAACUUGUCUGGUUUAUGAAUAUUGGAUGGUAAAGACUUGUCCAUGAGUGUAAACAGCGGAGUUAAUACUAUGGUUUCAACUCCGGUAAUCGAAUUCCUCGUUCAUUGAGUUACUUCUUUUUCUCGUCCAACUUUGUCCUUAGGUCAUCCUUACAAAUAUUUUGUAUGUUUGUAAGUCUCGAUACUGAUUCCAUCAACAUAAUAUAAGAGCAUAGACUUCCUUACAAGAGCCAAACUCCCCCAGCAAGGAAGAGGACCAACUUAAAGACAGAAGAAUCAUCAUAGGUAGAAAUCGGAGAUAGUAAUGCAUCAGUAGCUGCAACCUUUAUCUUUGCGGCGAGACUGGCAAUGGAGGUCACGCGUUCUGGGCCUUCUCCUUGGUCUCCUCCUUCUUGGAGGGCACUCGGCCAUCGGUCCCGGCGAGCAGCACGUACUUGUCCUUCCUGGUGAAGUUGGUGCCCUGGAAGCCCAGCGUGAUCGCCAGCACACGCUGUAUGUAAUUGGCGACCUCGAUGGGCGACUUCCCACCGGCGCAGGUGAGCUCCUUGGGCAGCUGGUUGAGGAAGGUGAUCUCGUAGGUGGGCCGCGGGUUCAUGAAGAAGAAGUAGGGGUCGAAGAGCUUCCACCCCCUGGCGGUCGUCCCGUGGAACAUGCUCUGCUUGGUGUUGAUGGCCACGGGGACGAUCCGGUCCGUGAGCUCCGCGAACAUGGCGCUGAACCUGAGGAGGAAGGGCUCCCGGCAGGUGGUGCCCUCGGGGCAGAUCACCAGGUCGCCUUCCUCCAGUAGGCGUUUGAUGUGCGCCGCGUCCUUGUCCCUCUCCCGCGACAGCGCCACGGCGUUGAUGGGGGAGAUGAGCUCGGAGAACUUGCUGAUGCUGUAGGUGACGCAGCUGAUCUUGCGGCGGAGGGCGACGGCGGUGACGACCGGGUCGAGCACGGUGCGGUGGUUGCACACGAAGAGCACGCCGGGGUGGCCCUUCUUGGGUGGCGGCGGGGGCGCGCCCUUCACCACCAGCUUGAUGCCCAUGAUCCUGUAGUUGUGGAACACGAUGCGCUCCGGCAGCGGGAGGUUGAUGUACACCCUGAGGAGCGAGAGGGCGAAGCCCAAGGGUAUCCAGAGGAAGGUGACGAGCGCCACCAUGGGGGUCGGCAGCUGGACCAAGCGGCCGUCGUGGAGAAUGACCCGGUUCAGGAGCUGGCUCUUGGGCACCGGACUCCAUUUUGCAUGCGGCACAACGUAGGCUUCCUGAAGCCAAUCGGAAAGCAGAUGCUGUUAUCAAUGGCUCCCAUCCCCAUCCGUUUGCACAGGAAAGAGGAAGAAAGAAAGAAGAAGGCGGCAUACACCGCAGACCCCGAUAAUUGUAGAUAUAUGUGAUGCUCAAUUUUGGAGUAGAUCAGUUCAGUCACUAGAUCCAUUGAAGUAGGUCA